rnacentral:lncRNA from 1 species
AACCCAAAUGCCCAUCAGUGAUAGACUGGAUAAAGAAAAUGUGGUACAUACACACCAUGGAAUACUAUGCAGCCAUAAAAAGGAAUGAGAUCAUGUCCUUUGCAGGGACAUGGAUGGAGCUGGAAGCUGCUAUCCUCAGGUGCAGGAGGAAGGGGAUCCCUAUCAAGGAGGAUAUACAGGGGUUAUCAACUUCAUUGCCUUUUUAUGUUUUCACAUUUAUUCGUAAGUUUUCUUUUGUUAUGAGUACCCUCAGCCCUACUAAAUAUUGACAAACUGCUUUCCAAAGUGAUUGCUCCAGUUCCCAAGCCAAGCACAGUGGCUCACACCUGUAAUCCCAGCACUUUAGGAAGCC